CCUUGAGCCCCCGACCCCGUUCUCUUUCUCUCUUCUCCUCCGUCUCCAUCCCCGAGUUGCCUUUCUCCUCUGUCUCCGCCCCCCGAGCUGCCCUAGCCCUUCUUUUUCUCUCCUUCUCCUCCGUCCUCCGAGCUACCUGAGCCCUUUCUCUUUCUCUCCUUCCCCUCCGUCUCUGGGGGAGGGCGCUUGCCGGAUGAAGUUUCUCACGAAUGAGGAUUCUCGGCACACUUUUCAGAGAAGAGGAUUUUUGGUGGAUUUCUCUCUUUCUCUCAUCCAAGCCAACAUUCAGAGAAUGACCGGCCAUGGAGUUCAGUCGGCCAGUGUUUGGGUUUGCUAUUUGAGGAAGCAAAUACAUCCCAAAUCAUUUUUACAGGAUGAACGGAAAUGAUGAGUAGACUCUUGAGAAGGAACGGAAAUGAUGAGUAGACUCUUGAUGGCCAUUGUACAGUACUAUUAUAGAAAGAAAGAGUAUAGAAAUGGGGAGACCUCUAUUGACAGUAUAGGGAAGUAGAGAAGGUUGUUUACAUUUAUGCAUGUAAUAAUGAAGAAUAAAGAUUCAUGGACAAUAUAAUUGUUUUUGUAUAAA